rnacentral:rRNA from 1 species
GAGUUUGAUCCUGGCUCAGAUUGAACGCUGGCGGCAGGCCUAACACAUGCAAGUCGAGCGGUAACAGAGAGUAGCUUGCUACUCUGCUGACGAGCGGCGGACGGGUGAGUAAUGCUUGGGAAUGUACCUUAUGGUGGGGGACAACAGUUGGAAACGACUGCUAAUACCGCAUAAUGUCUUCGGACCAAGGCGGGGGACCUUCGGGCCUCGCGCCAUAAGAUCAGCCCAAGUGGGAUUAGCUAGUUGGUGAGGUAAUGGCUCACCAAGGCGACGAUCCCUAGCUGGUUUGAGAGGAUGAUCAGCACACUGGGACUGAGACACGGCCAGACUCCUACGGGAGGCAGCAGUGGGGAAUAUUGCACAAUGGGCGCAAGCCUGAUGCAGCCAUGCCGCGUGUGUGAAGAAGGCCUUCGGGUUGUAAAGCACUUUCAGUAAGGAGGAAAGGUUGGAUGUUAAUAGCAUUCAGCUGUGACGUUACUUACAGAAGAAGCACCGGUUAACUCCGUGCCAGGCAGGCCGCGGUAAAUACGGAGGGUGCGAGGCGUUAAUCGGGAAUUACUGGGGCGGUAAAAGGCGGUAACGCAGGGCGGUUUGUUAGCGAGAUGUGGAAAGCCCCGGGGCUUCNAACCCUGGGGAACUGCAUUUUUCGGAAACUGGGCAAACUAGAGUGUGAUUANGAAGGGUGGUAGAAUUUCAGGUGUAGCGGUGAAAUGCGUU